rnacentral:lncRNA from 1 species
CGAGGUAAUAGUUGGCUGUCAGCGACAGCGGCAAUCAAUGGCGAAGUUGGCGGGUGUUUGGCGGUAGUCAGUAAUCAACGACAGUUGCUACUCGGGAUCGACCACUUCUGCACCAAUCCAGACGACCACAAUGAGCAUCCAACUCCCAAACUUGAAAGCCGAAUUCUAAAUAACGAAAUCCAAACUGAGUAAAACAACAAAAGCAGCGCCAACAAGAAAAUAGAAAUCUCUCUCUCGCUCUCUCUCUCACCCGGAGGGUCGGCGAUAGGGGGAAUGUCGAUGGGCUGGUCGAUUGAGACUGAAUCCGUUAAGCCUCUAUCAACGUCGAAGAACAACAAUCGACCCAAAACACCACUUCCAUUCACCGUCAUCACGCUGCGCAGCAAUCGAACCCUACUUUUAAAGGUUUAGGACAAUAGCUGCGACAGUUCACGUUUAUCCGAAGGGGAGGACUCACUCAUUCACCUCCAAAGCCGCCCUGAGGAGAAAAUUGUCCGUUCGAACACAGCCUCACAGAAAAAUUGUCAUAUUAAUGAGCUCUUGGCCUUCUGCUUUAUAGGUAGACUUACGAGGUUUGCAUGGAAAUCCUUUGAUCGACAAUUUGAAAGUGCGCCGGCGCG